UUCUGAGGCUCCAGGGUGGGGUAGAGCAUGAGACUCUUAAAUCUCAAGGUCGUGGGUUCAAGCCCCACAUUGGGCAAAA